rnacentral:lncRNA from 14 species
GUAUUUCCCUCCAGCAAUUGUCUCCUUCUUCCCCACCUUCCUCAGGUAUUUGGUUUAGGUACCAAACAUCUGACUCAGGUCUUCCUGGAGAACGGCUGAGCAGGGGUGGAUGGAAGAAGGAAUCAUUUUUCCUUGAAGGGAAUUUUUAAAAAGCCAUUGACCUUGUCUGCAAGACAUUUUCACCUACUGUGUUCAUUGCUGCUGGAUGAGAUUUUCAAAGCCAUGCCAAGGGUGUAUGUAGCUACAUAUCUUCUGUGAAAAUGAAUGGAAUACAUCCAUCUGGCGCUUCUUUCCAAGUUUCAGCCACGGAUCCUCUCCUCCCUUCUUCAUCAGGGAAAAAGGCUUGUCGCCCACUUUGCCACCGCGUGGGGGACUUUAGCAGUACAAAUCAAGGGAAGGAUGGCCUGGAGCAGCCUGAAACACAGCAUUGCAAGGAGAAGGGUCAGUGAAAUCUGAGGAGGAAAAGGCUCAAGCAUACAGCUAAGAUGAGCUCAGAGGCAGAUAUCAUUAGAGAUCCCUGUAGCAGAUCGAGAAGAAAGGAUCCUGAAAUUUCUGUCAUUGUUUGAUGAAGCACAGAAAUGUGCCACUCCCACAGCAGACCAUGACAUCAGUGGAAUCAAAGGAAGGUGUAAAUGAAAGUCCAUUGGAUCUUCCAUCUGAACUGAGCAAGAACCUGGAAAUAAAUCCUUUACAUGGAAGGAACUUCUGGAAGCAUUCACUGGCAACCUCCUGGAAAAUUAGGAAAGCUUUCUUUUGGAAAUACUGCACUGAGCUCAAAUAGUGUUUAAACUUCAAGCUGAUGGGUCAUGCUGAAGGCUAAGUACUGAAGCUGACAAAGAAACCUUCCAACAUUGAAGAGUCUUCUACACAAGUGGUUGAAGAGCGAUUAAUAAAGUAACUGUCUGACCAUAUUUGUCUUGUGGA